UACGAAGGGGCCUAGCGUUGUUCGGAAUCACUGGGCGUAAAGCGCACGUAGGCGGUUAUGUCAGUCGGGGGUGAAAUCCCGGGGCUCAACCUCGGAACUGCCUUUGAUACAGCAUGUCUUGAGUCCGAUAGAGGUGGGUGGAAUUCCUAGUGUAGAGGUGAAAUUCGUAGAUAUUAGGAAGAACACCGGUGGCGAAGGCGGCCCACUGGAUCGGUACUGACGCUGAGGUGCGAAAGCGUGGGGAGCAAACAGG
rnacentral:rRNA from 1 species